rnacentral:lncRNA from 1 species
AAUAAUAUUAUCAAAUGACAAGUUAAUUUUCAAAAUAUCUUUAACAAUUUGAGGAGGCAAAAUGGAUAAAUCACGAGGAAUGUUCCAAUCGAUGUCUUGGAUAAUUAAAUUGACCUUAACAAUUUGAAUAAAUUAAACAUGAACUAUAAAUACUAAGAGUAAAUCUUUAAUUUUGUAUUCCAACUAACUGUUAGUCCAUAUGUUAAUGUUCUUCUCAUUACCAACUUGCUAUAUACUUUAUUCCUCUAGAAAGAAAAAAAAAUUAUGAAUAUUGUGAAAUACGCCACUAAUAAAUUAAUUAUGAUUUCAUAAAAAAAUAAAAAAGAGAUUAUCAUCGAGUUUAAUUUUUAUAAAAUAUAAAGUUUUUACAAGAUGAUUUAAAUCUCAAACAUUGAAAUAAUUUUAGUAACUUUUUUCUUUUUUGAGUAAAAGAAAUUUAAAACAUUAAAUAAUUGAGAUGAAAAAUGCAUUGCUUUCCUUUCCUUCCCUUUACUAUAUGAAAUCAAAUAUAUACUUCGUUAUGGGACAACCAAAUGCCCAAUACAGGAGAAGCAUAAUCAUUAUACAAUGUAUAUAAUCAGCACACGAGAGAUUUAAGGUACAUUUUAUGAUCAUCACUUUUAACUUCAUUUAUGUUGAACUCUAUAACUGAAUUGGGUACUGGAGUAUUAACCUUGAAGGUCCAUCCCAC